rnacentral:rRNA from 1 species
GAUGAACGCUGGCGGCGUGCUUAACACAUGCAAGUCGAACGGGAAACCUUUUAUUGAAGCUUCGGCAGAUUUAGCUGGUUUCUAGUGGCGGACGGGUGAGUAACGCGUUGGUAACCUGCCUUAUACAGGGGGAUAACAGUCAGAAAUGGCUGCUAAUACCGCAUAAGCGCACAGAGCUGCAUGGCUCAGUGUGAAAAACUCCGGUGGUAUAAGAUGGACUCGCGUUGGAUUAGCUGGUUGGUGGGGUAACGGCCCCCCAAGGCGACGAUCCAUAGCCGGCAUGAGAGGGUGAGCGGCCACACUGGGACUGAGACACGGCCCAGACUCCUACGGGAAGCAGCAGUGGGGAAUAUUGCAAAAUGGGGGAAACCAUGAUGCAGCGACGCUGCGUGAAGGAAGAAGUAUCUCGGUAUGUAAACUUCUAUCAGCAGGGCAGAUAAUGACGGUACCUGACUAAGAAGCCCCGGCUAACUACGUG